rnacentral:rRNA from 1 species
UACGUAGGUGGCAAGCGUUGUCCGGAUUUAUUGGGUUUAAAGGGUGCGUAGGCGGCCUUAUAAGUCAGUGCUGAAAUAUCCCGGCUUAACCGGGAGGGUGGCAUUGAUACUGUAGGGCUUGAGUAAAGUUGAGGUUGGCGGAAUUGACGGUGUAGCGGCGAAAUGCUUAGAUAUCGUCAAGAACACCGAUAGUGAAGACAGCUAACUAAGCUUUAACUGACGCUGAGGCACGAAAGUGUGGGGAUCAAACAGG